rnacentral:rRNA from 1 species
UACGUAGGGGGCUAGCGUUGUUCGGAAUUACUGGGCGUAAAGGGCGCGUAGGCGGCCAACUAAGUCCGACGUGAAAUCCCAAAGCUUAACUUUGGAACUGCGUCGGAUACUGGAUGGCUUGAAUUCGGGAGAGGGAUGCAGAAUUCCAGGUGUAGCGGUGAAAUGCGUAGAUAUCUGGAGGAAUACCGGUGGCGAAGGCGGCAUCCUGGACCGGCAUUGACGCUGAGGAGCGAAAGCCAGGGGAGCAAAGC